rnacentral:misc_RNA from 1 species
AAGGAUCAUUAUCGAAUUUAAAGCUUGGUUGAGCUGUCGCUUCGGCGUUACGUGCUCGCCUUGCCGUCCAUUCUUCAACACCUGUGCACACUUCAAAGUAAUCGUUCUGUCCCAUCCCACUUGUAUGGGGGAGUUGUAAGGAUCAUUCAUUUGGUUCUUCUCUCUCCAAAGAGAGGGUAAGACGCUACAAGAACGAUCUUUGCCUUAUAAUAUACCCUUCUUUUAAAAAUGUUUAUGAACGUCAAAAAAAUGUAGGCUCGCCUUAAAAACGUGUAGCUGAAAUUAUAAAAUUAUACA